rnacentral:lncRNA from 1 species
CUUGGAAGGAACUCCACACCAAAUUAAUUUGGACGCCACCUUAUUUUUGGGUGAUGGAAUGGAAGAGUCCAUUUCAUGUUGGACUCUUAACUUCCUUUAAUAUUCCAUGCAUUUCUUCACUCCACGUGCCAUCUGAUGGCUCCUAGAAAUUUGUUGGCAUAGAAGUGGAGGAGUCUUUCUGCUUGAAGGCUCUUCCACACCUAAAAACUUCUAUAUGAAGAAUUUAUUCUUUGUGGAAGAUUAGGGGUUAAUGCGUGGGAUUUAUUUGUGUCAAAUUUUAUUUUUCUCCCUUGCCUCUUAACUCUUGCAUGCCUAAUUUAUGGGACU